GACGAACGCUGGCGGCGUGCUUAACACAUGCAAGUCGAACGGAAAGGCCCUGCUUUUGUGGGGUGCUCGAGUGGCGAACGGGUGAGUAACACGUGAGUAACCUGCCCUUGACUUUGGGAUAACUUCAGGAAACUGGGGCUAAUACCGGAUAGGAGCUCCUGCUGCAUGGUGGGGGUUGGAAAGUUUCGGCGGUUGGGGAUGGACUCGCGGCUUAUCAGCUUGUUGGUGGGGUAGUGGCUUACCAAGGCUUUGACGGGUAGCCGGCCUGAGAGGGUGACCGGCCACAUUGGGACUGAGAUACGGCCCAGACUCCUACGGGAGGCAGCAGUGGGGAAUAUUGCACAAUGGGCGGAAGCCUGAUGCAGCAACGCCGCGUGCGGGAUGACGGCCUUCGGGUUGUAAACCGCUUUCGCCUGUGACGAAGCGUGAGUGACGGUAAUGGGUAAAGAAGCACCGGCUAACUACGUGCCAGCAGCCGCGGUGAUACGUAGGGUGCGAGCGUUGUCCGGAUUUAUUGGGCGUAAAGGGCUCGUAGGUGGUUGAUCGCGUCGGAAGUGUAAUCUUGGGGCUUAACCCUGAGCGUGCUUUCGAUACGGGUUGACUUGAGGAAGGUAGGGGAGAAUGGAAUUCCUGGUGGAGCGGUGGAAUGCGCAGAUAUCAGGAGGAACACCAGUGGCGAAGGCGGUUCUCUGGGCCUUUCCUGACGCUGAGGAGCGAAAGCGUGGGGAGCGAACAGGCUUAGAUACCCUGGUAGUCCACGCUGUAAACGGUGGGUACUAGGUGUGGGGUCCAUUCCACGGGUUCCGUGCCGUAGCUAACGCUUUAAGUACCCCGCCUGGGGAGUACGGCCGCAAGGCUAAAACUCAAAGGAAUUGACGGGGCCCCGCACAAGCGGCGGAGCAUGCGGAUUAAUUCGAUGCAACGCGUAGAACCUUACCUGGGUUUGACAUGGAUCGGGAGUGCUCAGAGAUGGGUGUGCCUCUUUUGGGGUCGGUUCACAGGUGGUGCAUGGCUGUCGUCAGCUCGUGUCGUGAGAUGUUGGGUUAAGUCCCGCAACGAGCGCAACCCUUAAGCUUAGUUGCCAUCAUUAAGUUGGGCACUCUAAGUUGACUGCCGGUGACAAACCGGAGGAAGGUGGGGAUGACGUCAAAUCAUCAUGCCCCUUAUGAUUUGGGCUACACACGUGCUACAAUGGACAAUACAAAGGGCAGCGAAACCGCGAGGUCAAGCAAAUCCCAUAAAGUUGUUCUCAGUUCGGAUUGUAGUCUGCAACUCGACUAUAUGAAGCUGGAAUCGCUAGUAAUCGUAGAUCAGCAUGCUACGGUGAAUACGUUCCCGGGUCU
rnacentral:rRNA from 1 species